GUAACAACUCACCUGCCGAAUGAAUCAGCCUUGAAAAUGGAUGGCGCUCAAGCGAUACACCCAUACUCAACCGUUCACGUUGAUUUAUGUUGCGUGAACGAGUAGGCAGGCGUAAAGGUUUUGUGAUAAAGCCUAGGCAGUGAUGCCGGGUAGAACAGCCUUUAGUGCAGAUCUUGGUGGAAGUAGCAAAUAUUCAAGUGAGAAC
rnacentral:rRNA from 1 species